rnacentral:rRNA from 1 species
ACCCUGCUUCCAAGAAAAGCCUCUAAGCUUCAGUUAUCCAGAGACCGUACCGCAAACCGACACAGGUGGGCAGGAUGAAAAUUCUCAGGCGCUUGAGAGAACUCAGGAGAAGGAACUCGGCAAAUUUGCACCGUAACUUCGGGAGAAGGUGCGCCCUGAUAGGUUGUAGCCCCUCGCGGGUGAAGGCUGAAAGGGAUGCAGUGAACUGGUGGCUGCGACUGUUUAAUAAAAACACAGCACUCUGCAAACACGAAAGUGGACGUAUAGGGUGUGACGCCUGCCCGGUGCCGGAAGGUUAAGUGAUGGGGUGCAAGCUCUUGAUCGAAGCCCCGGUAAACGGCGGCCGUAACCAUAACGGUCCUAAGGUAGCGAAAUUCCUUGUCGGGUAAGUUCCGACCUGCACGAAUGGCGUAACGAUGGCCACACUGUCUCCUCCUGAGACUCAGCGAAGUUGAAAUGGUUGUGAAGAUGCAAUCUCCCCGCGGUUAGACGGAAAGACCCCAUGAACCUUUACUGUAGCUUUGCAUUGGACUUUGAACCGACUUGUGUAGGAUAGGUGGGAGGCUGUGAAACCGGGACGCUAGUCCGGGUGGAGCCAACCUUGAAAUACCACCCUGGUUUGUUUGAGGUUCUAACCACGGCCCGUGAAUCCGGGUCUGGGACCGUGCAUGGUAGGCAGUUUGACUGGGGCGGUCUCCUCCUAAAGUGUAACGGAGGAGUACGAAGGUACGCUAGGUACGGUCGGACAUCGUGCUAAUAGUGCAAUGGCAAAAGCGUGCUUGACUGCGAGACCCACACGUCGAGCAGGUACGAAAGUAGGUCAUAGUGAUCCGGUGGUUCUGUAUGGAAGGGCCAUCGCUCAACGGAUAAAAGGUACUCUGGGGAUAACAGGCUAAUACCGCCCAAGAGUUCAUAUCGACGGCGGUGUUUGGCACCUCGAUGUCGGCUCAUCACAUCCUGGGGCUGUAGUCGGUCCCAAGGGUAUGGCUGUUCGCCAUUUAAAGUGGUACGUGAGCUGGGUUUAAAACGUCGUGAGACAGUUUGGUCCCUAUCUGCCGUGGGCGCUGGAAAUUUGAAGGGGGCUGCUACUAGUACGAGAGGACCGGAGUGGACGAACCUCUGGUGUACCGGUUAUGACGCCAGUCGUAUCGCCGGGUAGCUAUGUUCGGAAGAGAUAAACGCUGAAAGCAUCUAAGCGUGAAACUCGCCUUAAGAUGAGAUUUCCCCGGGGACUCGAUCCCCCUGAAGGGUCGUGGUAGACCACUACGUUGAUAGGCUGGGUGUGGAAGCGCAGCAAUGCGUUCAGCUAACCAGUACUAAUUGCCCGUGAGGCUUGAUCC